rnacentral:rRNA from 1 species
AGGCUGCAACUCGCCUGCACGAAGUUGGAAUUGCUAGUAAUCGUGGAUCAGCAUGCCACGGUGAAUACGUUCCCGGGUCUUGUACACACCGCCCGUCACACCAUGGGAGCCGGUAAUACCCGAAGUCAGUAGUCUAACCGCAAGGAGGACGCUGCCGAAGGUAGGAUUGGCGACUGGGGUGAAGUCGUAACAAGGUAAC